ACGUAGGGUGCAAGCGUUAAUCUUAAUUACUUUUCUUAAAUCUUUCUCAUUCUUUUAUUUAAGACAGGCGUGAAAUCCCCGAGCUCAACUUGGGAAUUGCGUUUGUGACUGCAUAGCUAGAGUGCGGCAGAGGGGGAUGGAAUUUCGCGUGUAGCAGUGAAAUGCGUAGAUAUGCGGAGGUACCCCGCUGGCUGAGGCAAUCAAGUGGUUUUGUAUUUGUUUUUAUUUUUGAAAGCGUGGGGAGCAAACAG
rnacentral:rRNA from 1 species